rnacentral:rRNA from 1 species
AGAGUUUGAUUAUGGCUCAGGAUGAACGCUAGCGACAGGCUAACACAUGCAAGUCGAGGGGCAUCACGGGAGUAGCAAUACAACUGGUGGCGACGCGCACGGGUGAGUAACGCGUAUGCAACCUACCUAUCAGAGGGGAAUAACCCGGCGAAAGUCGGACUAAUACCGCAUAAAACAGGGGCACCGCAUGGUGAUAUUUGUUAAAGAAAUUCGCUGAUAGAUGGGCAUGCGUUCCAUUAGGUAGUUGGUGAGGUAACGGCUCACCAAGCCGACGAUGGAUAGGGGAACUGAGAGGUUGGUCCCCCACACUGGUACUGAGACACGGACCAGACUCCUACGGGAGGCAGCAGUGAGGAAUAUUGGUCAAUGGGCGGGAGCCUGAACCAGCCAAGUCGCGUGAAGGAAGAAGGAUCUAUGGUUCGUAAACUUCUUUUGCAGGGGAAUAAAGUGCAGGACGUGUCCUGUUUUGUAUGUACCCUGAGAAUAAGGAUCGGCUAACUCCGUGCCAGCAGCAGC